rnacentral:rRNA from 1 species
GGCGUUUCUACGUCUGGUAAUUGGAAUGAGUACAAUUUAAAUCCCUUAACGAGGAAGAAUUGGAGGACAAGUCUGGUGCCAGCACCCGCGGUAAUUCCAGCUCCAAUAGCGUAUAUNAAAGUUGUUGCAGUUAAAAAGCUCGUANUUGGAUUUCUGGUAGUGCGCGCCUAGCCCACCGGCGCAAGCUGCGUGAGUGCUGGAGUGCGCCUGCCAUCCUUCUAGAAAACGGCUCUGCCCUUCAUUGGGUUGGAGUUCGCGAUCUAGAUCUUUUACUUUGAAAAAAUUANAGUGUUUAAAGCAGGCUUGUGCCAUGAAUACAUUANCAUGGAAUAAUAAUUUAGGACUUUGUUUCUAUUUUGUUGGUUUCUAGGAAUGGAGUAAUGAUUGAUAGGGAUAGUUGGGGGUGCUAGUAUUCAGCGGCCAGAGGUGAAAUUCUUGGAUUCGCUGAAGACUAACUUAUGCGAAAGCAUUCACCAAGGAUGUCUUCUUUAAUCAAGAACGAAAGUUGGGGGGUCGAAGACGAUCAGAUACCGUCGUAGUCUCAACCAUAAACGAUACCGACUAGGGAUUAGUGGAAGUUGCUAUUUCGACUCCAUUAGCACCUUAUGAGAAAUCAAAGUCUUUGGGUUCCGGGGGGAGUAUGGUCGCAAGGCUGAAACUUAA